rnacentral:rRNA from 1 species
GAUGAACGCUGGCGGCGUGCCUAAUACAUGCAAGUCGAGCGAAGCGGGGACGGGGGCGUAACACGUGGAUAACCUCCUAUAAGACUGUGAUAACUUCGGGAAACCGGAGCUAAACCGGAUACUUAUAAGUGGAUCCGCGCUGCAUUAGCUAGUGGGUAAGGUAACGGCGUACCCAGGCAACGAUGCAUAGCCGACCUGCGGGGGUGAUCGGCCGCACUGGAGCUGACACGCGGUCCAGACUCCUACGGUAGGCAGCAGUAGAGAAUCAUCCGCAAUGGGCGAAAGCAUGACGGAGCAACGACGCAUGAGUGAUGAAGGUCUUCGGAUCGUAAAACUGUGUUAUUAGGGAAGCGGUUCCCAAUCAGAAAGCCACGGCUAACUACGUGCCAGCGGCGCGGUAAUUC